rnacentral:lncRNA from 1 species
UGAGAUAGAGGCAGCACAAGAGAUGAUGUCCAAGAAGAAGCGGCCUCACUCCAUGGUGUAAUUCAGGUCAUCUGCAAAUGAGCACACAACCUCAGUUUGUUGCUAUUCACUUCAUUGGCAGGUUUUAUUAUUGCAAUCAAAUUUGAAUGGUGAUAUGCAUAAUAGGAUCUAUCUGUUUCUUGCAAUGAGCUCUUUUUUCUUAUUUUAUAUCAAAUAGGUUACGCACUCUGCUAAUCCUUUGCAGUUUGUAGUUCAGUUUAUGUGCAUUUGUCCUCUGUACGCAGCAGUUUGUAACCUGGGCGACAAGACUCUCAUAGGAAACUACAACUCAUGAGAAAAUACAAUCAUAUUCAGUGACUUAUGUGCAGUGCAGAAAUGCAUGAUCUGACCUCGGAAUAUACAGAGACUAUGAUGGCUUGUUUCGUUUCGUUUAACUUCCUGUGAAAUUCCUGCUUUCCAAAUGCAGCAUUAGUUUGGCCCAGUAGAAAACAUAUAGUAAUCACAGAGAAACUCGCAGGAAUCUACCCAGCCCUCGUGUAAGAAUUAGUCAACAAUUGGAGGCAACAAAGGACUGGUCCAUUAAUACAUCAUGGUGGAAAAUGUUGCGUCUAGAUAAUGUGUGAACAUGACGACUCCUUGCAGCUUAUCUUACAGCAUUUAGGUAGCUCGCCUGGCAGUUAGAGGCCAGAGAUGAACUGAAAACAGGAACUCAAAUCAAACAUCGUAAUGGAAACGUUCAUUUCUGCAAUCCUUGGUGAUCUUUUCAGCAGAUCAGUAUCUUUUGUCCUCAACAAUUACCAUCUACGGCGGCAGAAGGGCGUCAAGGACAACCUGCAAGAGCUGCGCUGCGUGUUGCUGCGCAUCCAGGCCACCGCGGAGGAGGCUGAGGGGCGGCACAUCACCAACCAGGCCAUGCUCCAUCAGCUCCAGAUGCUGAGAGAAGCCAUGAACAAAGGCUGCUACCUGCUUGAUAAUUUCACAUACCGGAUGCUGCAGCAGGAGAGUUCCAAUGUUCAGGUUAGCGACCACCCCUUUCCCCUGUCCAAAUUCAAUCCAGCAAAGGGCCUGCGCUUCUCUACCAGGAGGAUGAUCGUUGCAUUUCAAGGUGAUGGGGCGAAGGAGGUUCAGAAGAUGCUAGGAAGCUUGCAUAGCAUAAUCAGCGAUAUGGCAGAGUUCAUCAUCUUCUUGAAAUCAUAUCCUCCCAUAAGCCGCGAGCCUUAUAGCAAGCACUUGUUUCUGGAGAACUGCAUGUUUGGCCGCCAGACAGAGCUGGAGAAGAUCAUCAGUUUCUUGUUGCAGCCAGAGCCUCCAGGCACAGAAAGAUUGCAAGUGUUACCCAUAACUGGUCCACCGAGAGUUGGUAAAAGCACCCUUGUUGAACAUGUAUGUUAUGAUGAGAGGGUGCGCAAUCACUUUUCCACAAUUAUUCUAUGUAGAGAUCCUACUGCUCCAGAAGGCAGUGGUGUGGUCAAGAAGCAAAGUCAUAGUUUACAUGGAAGAUCACUAAUUGUCAUGGAGCUUGCUGAUGAUUUGGUUGUAGAUGAAAGGCAAUGCAGAAACUUCUACUCUUCAAGAAACCACAUGUCACCUGGAAGUAAAGUUAUUGUGACAAGCAGAUCAGAGAAUAUAAUGAAACUUGGUACUACAGCAGCUCUUAAGUUGGAUUUUUUAUCUCAGGAAGCUUACUGGUACUUCUUCAAAGUGAUGGCUUUUGGAAGCACAAAUCCUGAUGACCACCCAGCGCUAGCAUCAAUAGCUAUGGAAAUUGCAGCAGGGCUUCAAGGAGGUUUCUUGGGUGCACAUGCCAUCUGCGGCUUUCUAAGAGCUAAUAUCCACAAUUGGUUUUGGAACAUGAUCCUUGAAUGUCAGAGAAACAAUAUAGAGAGGAAUAUCCUCAUCUUUGGUGAACAUCCACAGUCUCUUCUUUGGAAGAGCCAGAUUGCAUAUGUUUGGACUCUGUCCAACAUUUCCGUGAGGGUCAAAGUUCUUCAUUUUCAAACACGUUCCCCUCUGAAUGAUGUCCGAAAAUAAUGUUGCAUGAAGUCCACACAAGUGCAAAAGCUCAUGGGAAGCUGGACGUCCUGGUGUGGGAAAUCGGGGCAUACCCCCAUAUCACAGCUACAUUAUGAAGUGUGAGAUUGAGGCACCAGAAGACAUGAUGGUCAAGAAGAAGCGCCCUCCUUCUUAUCUGCAAAUAUGAACAUUUCCUUGAUGUUGAAUUCAUUGGCUGUUUUCAUCGUUGAGAUCAAAUAUCAAAUGUGAAGGGUGACGUUCAAAUACACCACUAGUGAACAAAUCUAUCUGUUUCUUACAGUGAUCUCUUCUCCAUAUUUUUUCUAUAAAUUAAAGUGCAAGCUCUGCUCUUGUAAAUGCUUUGUUGUUGAGUUGUUGUAAAAUGCAAGCUCUGACAUUCCUUUGUAGUUAGUACAUAUCAUUCAGCCUGUGUGCAGACAUACUUUAUAUUUCCUGUACCCAGUAGUUUGUAAUCAGGGUGACAAGACUCUGACUGGUGGAGAAUAUCAUUAUAUUCACACAUAUUUAAAAAACUCGAACCUGAACCUGCUGUAUGCUAUUCAUGUGCUCUAACCAUUGGACUAGAUAUCUUUUUGCCGCUCCUUAUUUUGUGGACGGAGGUAGUAGAAAUGUACGAUAUGAUCUCAAAAUAUAUAUAAAAAAGGCAUUGUGGGAUUGUUUAUAUUCACUAAGGUCUGUAUUACUGCCUGCAGAAUUUCUGCUUUCCAAACAUGGCCUUCAUUUGGCCCACUAGAAACUAUAUAAUGUUCUAUCUUCCCUGCUCACAUUGUCAUAACUCAGAGCAAAUCGCCCCUAAGCUACAACACUCGUUCCUCCAUUCAUCAUUUUAUUCAUUAACGCCUAUCAAAUUUUUAAAUUUACUCUAGAAUUCUGGAUCUUUAAUUGGACAAUGGAAAAAGGGAAAAACUGUUUUAUUUAAUAUAUGCAUAAAAAAUCACAAUAAAAAAGAUAGGUGGAAUGCACCUGCGGUAGUCACUCUGGUUAUUUACAUUUUGUUCACCCUCUAUUUAACAAAACAACAUACUGUUCACCAGGGGAAUCAUAUCUAAAUUCUAAUGGUCCAAUCCAUGUGCACACCACUUGCCACAUCUCAAGUAAAAUUGCGACUAAGCUAUAGCACUCUGCAUUCGUUGGUUUAUUUAUUUAUGGUUUGUAUCUGGUAGAAAAUAUUAUAACAUCCCAAAGGUAAAGGUAUGAAACUGGAUUAGCUUAUCUGCACAUCCAAUAAACUCUAGAAUUUGGAUAUGUAAUUCAACAAUGGGAAAUAAGAACACUAUUUCCUUUAAUCUUUGUAAAAAGAAAAUUCAAUAAGAAUGACCAACCAAGCACAAAACCGGAGAAUCGUAAUCUUCUGUACCGUACCAGCAGUUUUCCAUAACAAUUCCCAUUUUCCUUUAAGACUUUUUUGGUUAUGUACUUUGCAUGACAUUAGACCAAAGAACCAUCUUUUCUAGACCGAACACUGAAUCUGUCUAACUAUCUACAGCUUGCUGUUGUCUAGUCAAUUUUGAGAAAGCCCAUUGCUUCGUCCCAACCUUCAAAGUCUCAACGACAACACUACAGGUCUACAGCAGAUGGCUGCUACGCUCAGUCACAACUCACAACGCGUUCAACCUAAUCAGCAUAUGCGUUCGACCAGAAUUAAUCGAAACCUGCAACAUUUGGGCCGCAACACUGAAUCUAACUAUCUACAUCGAAGCACUGAGAUACAACAUGCUCAAAGAAGGAUGGGAUUAACAGCUUACCAUGGCAUCGGCGGCAGAGGGCAGGCGUGCCGUGGGAGGGCGCGCGCGCAGCGGUCAGGAUCUCUGCGUGCUGCGGCAUCCACUGAUGCCGUCGCCCUCGUGGGCAUCCGCGGGACAUGACGGAUCGGGAAUAGGUUGGGAGCUUGACUGGGAAGCAGACAACGAGUCAGAAAAUCAGGGCAACCGUCGCGGGAGACAUGGGCCUUCGAUGGGCCGAU